UGAAGGCUGCUGUAUCCUGUGCUACGCGCUCUCCUCUAUCUCUCUUCCAUUAUUGCCGUCGCCAGCUACCUCUCGUCUGCUCAUGGCUCCGCCACACCCUACCUCAGCUCCAACGAUGCGCGUGCGACGGAAGUGACGGCCGGAGCACUCGUCCUCUUCCACUCCGGCAGCCAAACCACCCGGAUCUGGCGUCAUCUUCCACUCCGGCGGCCAAAUCACCUCGAGCCUACACAACGCCGGAUCUACAGAGGACGCGGUCCUCGUCCAUGGAUCUGGCCAAGGGAAAUCAUCUUCUUCAUUGUAUCCGUCGGAUCCGUGUUGGGAUGGCAAAGCCGAUUUCUGAUGUCUUCCCCAUGUAGUCGCGGGAUUCCAUCAUCAUUGCCGAUUGCCAGUUGGGCCGCCGCGGUGAGAGCACACAGCUGUGCGGAGAUGUCGGCUUUGACGUUUGCUCAGAGGCCACCAGCGGUUGGACCAUAAGGAUUAGGAUAAACCGCCUUACGAGCAACAUUUGAAGAGGUCUGCUUUUGCAAGAUUUGUGGAGUGCAAAAGCACAACAUGUCUUGGUAGAAGAGAUUUUUUGAAGGAGCCAAGGAAAUUGCCAAAAUGUUUGAAUGUGGUGUUCCGAAAUGUGCGUUUGAAGCUAACUUUCUUUGGAUGGUUGUUGUUGUUAGCCAAAGAGUUUCCAACUCAGGAAAUCCUUAUUUAUGUGCCGUUUCAUGUAAUCGCGAACUGUGUAAUGUGACUUUACUAUUGGACAUGGACCAUUUUGUUGAAGACUAAUAUUUGGGUGAAAAUUUGUGUCUGUU